rnacentral:rRNA from 1 species
GACGAACGCUGGCGGCGUGCUUAACACAUGCAAGUCGAACGGAAAGGCCCUGCUUUUGUGGGGUGCUCGAGUGGCGAACGGGUGAGUAACACGUGAGUAACCUGCCCUUGACUUUGGGAUAACUUCAGGAAACUGGGGCUAAUACCGGAUAGGAGCUCCUGCUGCAUGGUGGGGGUUGGAAAGUUUCGGCGGUUGGGGAUGGACUCGCGGCUUAUCAGCUUGUUGGUGGGGUAGUGGCUUACCAAGGCUUUGACGGGUAGCCGGCCUGAGAGGGUGACCGGCCACAUUGGGACUGAGAUACGGCCCAGACGCCUACGGGAGGCAGCAGUGGGGAAUAUUGCACAAUGGGCGGAAGCCUGAUGCAGCAACGCCGCGUGCGGGAUGACGGCCUUCGGGUUGUAAACCGCCUUCGCCUGUGACGAAGCGUGAGUGACGGUAAUGGGUAAAGAAGCACCGGCUAACUACGUG